rnacentral:pre_miRNA from 1 species
UUUCUACUCCCUCUGUCCGAAAAUACUUGUCAUCAAAAUGGAUUAAAAGAGAUGUAUCUAAAACUAAAAUACGUCUAGAUACAUUUCCUUUUAUCCAUUUUGAUGACAAGUAUUUCCGAACGGAGGGAGUAUUUG